GGUGUGUGAUAGGAACAGCAAGGAGACCAGUAGGACUCGGGUUGAGUGAGGGGGAGUGGGGCAGGAGAUGACAGGGGCAAGAGGCAGGUGCACCAGAUGACACAGGACUUUAUCAUCCACAGUGAGGACUUAGCCAUGAACUGAAUGACAUGCAGAGCCACAGGAAGGUUUUGACCAGGAGUCACGCGGUCUGACUUAAGUUUUAAAGAGACUUCUGUGGCUGCUGUGUAAAUGGCACUCAGGACAGCCACUCGUUAUUGCUCGGUCUCUUCAUGUUCUGUUUUCAACCCCCAUAUUUGGAUUAAAUGAUGAUUCGGUUGUUGACAGUGAUCUCUGGAAUCUGAGACCACAAGAUAACUACUCCCUGUUGGACUGCUUUCAUUCAGCUGAGAGGAGAGUAACUUCUUCCCCACCACAAGUGUCUACACCCAGCAGCUUGUAGACAUCCCAGGGCACCACGUGCUCUACUGCACUCUAAUUAGUUAUAUACAUACCAAUGCUCCCCACUAAGCUGUGAGCUCCUUUAGGGCAAAUAAAUAAAGGCACAAGUCUCCAUGGCGCUUACACUUAGUUUUUAUUAGCCCGAGUUCCACCUCCUAGGAGAUACACAGCUAACCAAGGGCACCCAGUCACCGUUUUGCUCCUGCUGGAUUGGCUGAUACCACUGCUCACCUGGGGUGGGAAAUUCUGCAGAGCCACGUCAGGGCCUGGUUUCCUCAGAUACAGAGAGCUCCGUGAGGGAAGGUCAGACUGAGGGGCCCCUUCUUCUCCGCACCGGUAGGACACACACAAGCCAAUGACCGAUGCCUCACAGAGCAGAGGAGAGCCCUGGGCUGCCCCCCGGAGGCCUGGGCACAAGGGGUUCUCCCUACCAGCCAGGCCUGGACUGCUGCCCCCCUGCCCUCCCACAGUGGCCAAUCCCUCACCUGAUGGUAAACCUUUUUCAUUGUGUCACAUAAUGCACUGGAUGCCUUCCGAUUACUGGGCUCUGAGUUUUGGCUGCUGGAGUACAAGGAUUAAGCACCUGAGGAGAAGGCGAGGUGAGAGCAUGUCACCCCGUGCUCUUCUCCAGGCAGCUCUGCCCCUGCCCUGGGUUGCACCCAGCAGCCCAGCAGGAGCCUGUGACCUAGGAGAGUGGCUCCAUCCUGGGGUGUGAGGG